GCUCAGUUGGUUGAGUGUCUGAUUCUUGAUUUCAGCUCAGGGCACGAUCUCAUGGUCGUGAGAUCGAGUCCCACACUGAGUG
rnacentral:tRNA from 1 species